rnacentral:rRNA from 1 species
GAGUUGCGAACGGGUGAGUAACGCGUAGGUAACCUGCCUCUUAGCGGGGGAUAACUAUUGGAAACGAUAGCUAAUACCGCAUAAAAGUCGAUAUCGCAUGAUAUUGAUUUGAAAGGUGCAAUUGCAUCACUAAGAGAUGGACCUGCGUUGUAUUAGCUAGUUGGUGAGGUAACGGCUCACCAAGGCGACGAUACAUAGCCGACCUGAGAGGGUGAUCGGCCACACUGGGACUGAGACACGGCCCAGACUCCUACGGGAGGCAGCAGUAGGGAAUCUUCGGCAAUGGGGGCAACCCUGACCGAGCAACGCCGCGUGAGUGAAGAGGGUUUUCGGAUCGUAAAGCUCUGUUGUAAGAGAAGAACGAGUGUGAGAGUGGAAAGUUCACACUGUGACGGUAACUUACCAGAAAGGGACGGCUAACUACGUGCCAGCAGCCGCGGUAAUACGUAGGUCCCGAGCGUUAUCCGGAUUUAUUGGGCGUAAAGCGAGCGCAGGCGGUUAGAUAAGUCUGAAGUUAAAGGCUGUGGCUUAACCAUAGUACGCUUUGGAAACUGUUUAACUUGAGUGCAGAAGGGGAGAGUGGAAUUCCAUGUGUAGCGGUGAAAUGCGUAGAUAUAUGGAGGAACACCGGUGGCGAAAGCGGCUCUCUGGU